rnacentral:rRNA from 1 species
AGUGAACGCUGGCGGCGUGCUUAACACAUGCAAGUCGAACGAGAACGGGUUAUAGCUUGCUAUAAUUGUCAGCUAAGUGGCGCACGGGUGAGUAAUGUAUAGGUAAUAUGCCUCUUACUAAGGGAUAACAAAUGGAAACGUUUGCUAAUACCUUAUACUCCUUAUUAACAGAAGUUAAUAAGGGAAAGAUUUAUUGGUAAGAGAUUAGCCUGUAUUGUACCAGUUAGUUGGUGGGGUAAUGGCUUACCAAGACUAUGACACAUAACUGGUUUGAGAGGAUGAUCAGUCACACUGGAACUGAGACACGGUCCAGACUCCUACGGGAGGCAGCAGUGGGGAAUAUUGCACAAUGGACGAAAGUCUGAUGCAGCAACGCCGCGUGGAGGAUGACACAUUUCGGUGCGUAAACUCCUCUUAUAUGAGAAGAUAAUGACGGUAUUAUAUGAAUAAGCACCGGCUAACUCCGUGCCAGCCGCCGCCGUAA